ACNGGAUAACAGAGAGAAAUUUCUGCUAAUACCGUAUGUGGCCUAUGGGCGAAAGAUUUAUCGGCUUAAGAUGAGCCCGCGUUGGAUUAGCUAGUUGGUGGGGUAAAGGCCUACCAAGGCGACGAUCCAUAGCUGGUCUGAGAGGAUGAUCAGCCACACUGGGACUGANACACGGCCCAGACUCCUACGGGAGGCAGCAGUGGGGAAUAUUGGACAAUGGGCGGAAGCCUGAUCCAGCCNUGCCGCGUGAGUGAAGAAGGCCUUAGGGUUGUAAAGCUCUUUCACCGGUGAAGAUAAUGACGGUAACCGGAGAAGAAGCCCCGGCUAACUUCGUGCCNGCAGCCGCGGUAAUACGAAGGGGGCGAGCGUUGCUCGGAAUAACUGGGCGUAAAGGGCGCGUANGCGGCCGAUAGCUGUCANAUGUGAAAUUUUUGGGCUCANCCCGAAAACUGCNUUUGAUACNUAUUGGCUAGAGUGCGAGAGAGGAUUGCGGAAUUCCCAGUGUAGAGGUGAAAUUCGUAGAUAUUGGGAAGAACACCAGUUGCGAAGG
rnacentral:rRNA from 2 species